GUGUCAGCCGCCGCGGUAAUACGGGGGGAGCAAGCGUUGUCCGGAAUCACUGGGCGUAAAGGGCGUGUAGGCGGGCUGGUAAGUCAGAUGUGAAAUCCCACGGCUUAACCGUGGAAUUGCAUUUGAAACUGCCAGUCUUGAGUGCGAGAGAGGGUAGUGGAAUUCCCGGUGUAGCGGUGAAAUGCGUUGAUAUCGGGAAGAACACCAGUAGCGAAGGCGGCUACCUGGCUCGUAACUGACGCUAAGGCGCGAAAGCGUGGGGAGCAAACAGGAUUAGAUACCCUGGUAGUCCACGCCGUAAACGAUGGGCACUAGGUGUUGGGGGCGACUUGUCGCCCUCAGUGCCGCAGCCAACGCAUUAAGUGCCCCGCCUGGGGAGUACGCUCGCAAGGGUGAAACUUAAAUGAAUUGACGGGG
rnacentral:rRNA from 1 species